AUCCGAGGAAGAAACAACAGGGAUUACCUCAGUAACGGCGAGUGAAGCGGUAACAGCUCAAAUUUGAAAUCUGGCCUCACGGUCCGAGUUGUAAUUUGUAGAGGAUGCUUCGAGCAUGGUCUGGCCUAAGUUCCUUGGAACAGGACGUCAUAGAGGGUGAGAAUCCCGUAUGCGGCCAGGUGCCUACGCUCAUGUGAAGCUCCUUCGACGAGUCGAGUUGUUUGGGAAUGCAGCUCAAAAUGGGUGGUAAAUUUCAUCUAAAGCUAAAUAUUGGCCAGAGACCGAUAGCGCACAAGUAGAGUGAUCGAAAGAUGAAAAGCACUUUGGAAAGAGAGUUAAACAGUACGUGAAAUUGUUGAAAGGGAAGCGCUUGCAACCAGACUUGCGCGCGGCUGAUCAUCCGGUGUUCUCACCGGUGCACUCGGCCGUGCUCAGGCCAGCAUCGGUUUUGGCGGCUGGAUAAAGGCCCUAGGAAUGUGGCUCCUCUCGGGGAGUGUUAUAGCCUAGGGUGCAAUGCAGCCUGCUGGGACCGAGGACCGCGCUUCGGCUAGGAUGCUGGCGUAAUGGUUGUAAGCGGCCCGUCUUGAAACACGGACCAAGGAGUCUAACAUCUAUGCGAGUGUUUGGGUGUCAAACCCAUACGCGUAAUGAAAGUGAACGGAGGUGAGAACCCUUAAGGGUGCAUCAUCGACCGAUCCUGAUGUCUUCGGAAGGAUUUGAGUAAGAGCAUAGCUGUUGGGACCCGAAAGAUGGUGAACUAUGCCUGAAUAGGGUGAAGCCAGAGGAAACUCUGGUGGAGGCUCGCAGCGGUUCUGACGUGCAAAUCGAUCGUCAAAUUUGGGUAUAGGGGCGAAAGACUAAUCGAACCAUCAGAUGUCC
rnacentral:rRNA from 1 species